GGAGAUGUAGCUCAGAUGGUAAAGUGCUUGUUUAGCAUGCGAGGGGUAUGGGGAUCGAUACCUUUCAUCUCCA
rnacentral:tRNA from 1 species